rnacentral:rRNA from 1 species
UACGUAGGGUGCGAGCGUUGUCCGGAAUUAUUGGGCGUAAAGGGCUCGUAGGCGGCCAACUAAGUCGGAUGUGAAAUCCCCAAGCUUAACUUGGGAACUGCAUCCGAUACUGGAUGGCUUGAAUCCGGGAGAGGGAUGCAGAAUUCCAGGUGUAGCGGUGAAAUGCGUAGAUAUCUGGAGGAAUACCGGUGGCGAAGGCGGCAUCCUGGACCGGCAUUGACGCUGAGGAGCGAAAGCUAGGGGAGCAAACGGG